AGGAGGCGUGGCUUCCGGCGGCCCUCGUCUGCUAGUGGGGGCGGCGGGGUCGAGUGGAGCCACGGCUGACAGGCACUCCUCCCCCGGUGGCGGCGGCUGCGCCCAGGCGGACUGGCUGCCCUAGCUCGCGGCCUCGCGACGCUCCAGGGCCGCACUGGGGCAUGGACGAGGGGAAGAUGGACGAGAAUGAAUGGGGGUACCACGGCGAAGGCAACAAGAGCCUGGUGGUAGCCCAUGCGCAGCGCUGUGUGGUACUGCGUUUUCUGAAGUUUCCUCCAAAUAGGAAGAAGACCUUGGAAGAGAUACUGCAGCACCUGCAGAACAUAGUGGACUUUGGCAAAAAUGUCAUGAAAGAGUUUUUGGGAGAGAACUAUGUUCAUUGUGGGGAGGUUGUUCAGCUGCCUUUAGAUUUUGUGAAACAACUUUGUUUAAAGAUACAGUCUGAGAGACCAGAAUCUCGCUGUGAUAAGGACCUGGACACUCUCAGUGGUUAUGCUCUGUGCCUUCCUAACUUAGCCAGACUUCAGACCUACCGUUUUGCAGAGCACCGACCGAUUCUGUGUGUAGAGAUCAAGCCAAAAUGUGGGUUUAUUCCUUUCUCCAGUGAUGUCACGCAGGAGACUAAGCGUCGGGUGUGCCGGUACUGCAUGCACCAGCACCUCAAGGUGGCGACUGGGAAGUGGCAGCAGAUAAGUAAAUACUGUCCCCUCGAUCUCUACUCAGGAAACAAACAGAGAAUGCACUUUGCCCUGAAAAGCUUGUUGCAGGAGGCACAGAACAACUUGAAGAUAUUUAAGAACGGUGAGCUGAUUUAUGGCUGCAGAGACGUGUGCAGCCCUGUGGCUGAUUGGAGCGAGCUGGCCCACCAUCUGAAGCCGUUCUUCUUCCCAUCCAACGGCCUGGCCAGCGGGCCCCACUGUACACGGGCUGUGAUCCGGGAGCUGGUGCACGUCAUCACGCGGGUGCUGCUGAGUGGCUCGGACAGGGGCAGGGCAGGUGUGCUGCGGCGGGGGCCCAGCCCCCGGGGCCCGCACGUCUGUGAGGCCAGCCCUUUCAGCAGAAGCCUGCGGUGCCAAGGAAAAAUCCCCCCGGAGCGCUCGGGGUUACCGAAGGACUGUCUUCUGUACAAAACCCUCCAGGUGCAGAUGUUGGACAUGCUGGACAUCGAGGGCCUCUACCCUCUGUACCGGCGGGUGGAGCGGUACCUGGAGGAAUUUCCGGAGGAGAGAAAAGCGCUGCAAAUAGACGGGCCGUAUGAUGGAGCAUUCUACCAGAAGCUACUUGACCUUUCCACCGAGGAUGAUGGGACCCUGGCCUUUGCGCUGACGAAGGUGCAGCAGUACCGGGUGUCCAUGACUGCCAAGGACUGCUCCAUCAUGAUUGCGCUGUCACCGUGUCUGCAGGACGCAAGCCAUGAGCCAAGGCCGGUUGUGCCAUCAUCUGGGUCCCGGCUCGCCUUCUCUGUGUCAGUGCUUGACCUCGACCUUAAGCCCUACGACAGCAUCCCUCACCAGUACAAAUUGGAUGGCAAGAUCACCAGCCACUACUCCAAGGCCAUGCGUGCUGAGGGUGCCAUGCUGUCGGCGCGGUUCCAGGAAGGCGAGGAUUGCACAUUGGUUCUCCACAAGGUCUAGCUCCUCCCAUGGUGUCCUGUGAGUUCAGUGGUGGCCUGUUUUGGCUGCAGGCUGUGUGUUUCUGCUUCAGCCCUGUUCAGUGGCCACCUUGGGUGCAGUUGGAGCCAUGGGGAUGCCUUCUGGCCAUGUGAUCCUGCUGCCCCCCUCCCCAGCUCUCAGCCAGUCUCUGAUGCAGAAAGCUUCAUUAGGAGACCAAGGUCUGGAUCUCUGCCACCAGAUGCUAACAUAGGACACAUGAAUUGUUGCAUUUGGACAGUUAAAAUAUGGAGCCCCCAUGAGGUGCCUGGCUGCCCUCAGCCAUCAGCACUUGCUGUCACGGGGUGGCUCAGGGCGGCAGUGCUGGGUCCCUGCUUAGUGCCAUCUGCCCACUCAGGUGUGCCAGGAGCGCAGGAGCUGGUUGGGUGGACACCAUUCAAGCAAGCACUGUUUUUUUGUCUUCUUGCUGAAUGCUUUUCUCUCUGACUCAACAGAAGACCGGGGGUUCUUUCCAGCCAGGAACUGCUGCUGUGGAGGCCGGAGGCAGGGCCGCUCCUCUGGGAUGCUGGCCCGGGGUGCCACAUCCUACUCUGUGGAGCUGGCACCCACUCUCCCUGCCUCACAACCCUGUCCCCCUUUGAGCUGAGUGUUGUCCACGGCUUCAAGUGGUGCUGGGUGCCUCCCAUGGCUGUCUGAGGUUCUGCUCCAGCAGAGAUUCAGAGAGAGAUGCUGGUGGCGAGGAGUCUGAGGUACCUGGUGGUCAAUGGUUUUGGCCUGAGGUCAGUCCUGGUUGUUGGUCUGGGGUGAGAAUAGGCUGCCUGGCACUGCAGUGCAGAGGACCCUGCCCCCACUGUGUGCAUGGCUUCGGAACCCUGGCCCCUUGAAGAGGUGAGCUGGGCAGCCCCCCGGGCCGUCCUGGCUGGCUGGAUCAGCCAGCAUGCCUUGGUGGGAAGAGGUCACAGGUGACCCUGCCAGGGGGUCAUGGCUGGGCCCCUCCCUGCUAUAUGUUCACUUCACUGAAACCUUGUUCUCCCUGAGUCUGAGGUAAGGGAAGCCCCGAGACUGGGGACUUGAACAAAAACUGUUUCUUCUGUGUGGAGGAGCCUUGGGAGCUGGGGCCCUGUGGGAAGGGGCUUACUGCAUUUUUAAAGCUAAGGGUUUGGUGGAGGCCAAGCAGAGCGGAUGUCAGGAUUGCUGAGAAGCCCAUGGGUACCAGCAGGAGCUCCUUUUCAGAGCAGGGGGCA